AUUGAACGCUGGCGGCAGGCCUAACACAUGCAAGUCGAGCGGAUGAAGGGAGCUUGCUCCUGGAUUCAGCGGCGGACGGGUGAGUAAUGCCUAGGAAUCUGCCUGGUAGUGGGGGAUAACGUCCGGACACGGGCGCUAAUACCGCAUACGUCCUGAGGGAGAAAGUGGGGGAUCUUCGGACCUCACGCUAUCAGAUGAGCCUAGGUCGGAUUAGCUAGUUGGUGGGGUAAAGGCCUACCAAGGCGACGAUCCGUAACUGGUCUGAGAGGAUGAUCAGUCACACUGGAACUGAGACACGGUCCAGACUCCUACGGGAGGCAGCAGUGGGGAAUAUUGGACAAUGGGCGAAAGCCUGAUCCAGCCAGGCCGCGUGUGUGAAGAAGGUCUUCGGAUUGUAAAGCACUUUAAGUUGGGAGGAAGGGCAGUAAGUUAAUACCUUGCUGUUUUGACGUUGCCAACAGAAUAAGCACCGGCUAACUUCGUG
rnacentral:rRNA from 1 species